GGUUGAUCCUGCCAGUAGUCAUAUGCUUGUCUCAAAGAUUAAGCCAUGCAUGUCUAAGUAUAAGCUUUUAUACGGUGAAACUGCGAAUGGCUCAUUAAAACAGUUAUAGUUUAUUUGAUGGUCUUAUAUACAUGGAUAACCAUGGUAAUUCUAUGGCUAAUACAUGCGCAGUGGCCACCUUCUUUGGAGGGGCUGUGUUUAUUAGAUACAAAACCAACCCACUGAAUGUGGAGCCUUGGUGAUUCAUAGUAACCGAACGGAUCGCAGUUGGUUUCGGCCCGCGAUGGAUCAUU
rnacentral:rRNA from 1 species